rnacentral:rRNA from 1 species
CAAAGGUAGCAUAAUCAAUUGGCUUUUAAUUAAAGUCUGGUAUGAACGAAAGUAUGGGUGGGAACUGUCUUAGUAUAUUAAUUUGAACUUAUUAAGCAAGUGCAAAUACUUGCAAGUUUAAAAAAGACGAGAAGACCCUAGAAACUUGGAAUAGUUUUUGUUGGGGCGACAGAAUUACAUUUAACUAAUUUUUAUGACAUGACACUUAGUUGGUAGAAUAAGUUACUCUAGGGAUAACAGCAUAAUUUAAACAGUUUGUGACCUCGAUGUUGGAUUAG